rnacentral:rRNA from 1 species
GAUGAACGCUGGCGGCGUGCCUAACACAUGCAAGUCGAGCGAAGCACUUACUUUAGAUUUCUUCGGAAUGACGAAGUUUGUGACUGAGCGGCGGACGGGUGAGUAACGCGUGGGCAACCUGCCCUGUACAGGGGGAUAACAGUUAGAAAUGACUGCUAAUACCGCAUAAGCCCACAGCUUCGCAUGAAGCAGUGGGAAAAACUCCGGUGGUACAGGAUGGGCCCGCGUCUGAUUAGCUAGUUGGUAAGGUAACGGCUUACCAAGGCGACGAUCAGUAGCCGACCUGAGAGGGUGACCGGCCACAUUGGGACUGAGACACGGCCCAAACUCCUACGGGAGGCAGCAGCGGGGAAUAUUGCACAAUGGGGGAAACCCUGAUGCAGCGACGCCGCGUGAGCGAUGAAGUAUUUCGGUAUGUAAAGCUCUAUCAGCAGGGAAGAAAGUGACGGUACCUGACUAAGAAGCCCCGGCUAACUACGUG